rnacentral:rRNA from 1 species
UACAGAGGUCUCAAGCGUUGUUCGGAUUCAUUGGGCGUAAAGGGUGCGUAGGCGGCGCGGUAAGUCGGGUGUGAAAUCUCGGGGCUUAACUCCGAAACUGCAUUCGAUACUGCCGUGCUUGAGGACUUGAGAGGAGACUGGAAUUUACGGUGUAGCGGUGAAAUGCGUAGAUAUCGUAAGGAAGACCAGUGGCGAAGGCGGGUCUCUGGACAGUUCCUGACGCUGAGGCACGAAGGCCAGGGGAGCAAACGGG